UGGGUUUAGAUUACUAAUUGAUACGGUAGUUGCUGCCACCAGAAAUAGUCUAAGGACUAUUUCAAAAUAUAUUUUCUAUUAUUUUUUUUCGUUUAAUGGGUAGCGUUAACUGACGCUUAAUGCAACUGGUAAACGAAUUCCACUUUUCGGCUAACCUGCUAUGUGCAGGGAUACUGGCACGGGAGAGGAUUAAAGCUGGGAACAAUAAAUAUUUGUCCUCGUUGAACGGAUUUUUAUUUGAAUGUAGAAUUGCUUAAAUUAUUGCCUUUAUAUAUAUUUUAUUAGCCGGAUAUAUAUAUAUUUUAGCGUUGCUGGAUUGGAUAGGAAUGUGAGAUUUUUCGUUGUUUUAUAUAAAUUUAUUUUUACGUUUGACUUCUUCUUCUCUUUUAAUUUCGCUGUAGUAUGCCGUUAGAACGAUCCUUUGAUUAAAUUUUCGAAGGGAAAUUGUUCUGCUAUUUCUCUCUUACAAUCGCAUGCAACGAUGGCAAGAAUAUCGGUUAUUAGCAAUGCCGGUAUUGCUCUUAAUUUUCGAUUGACCCUGACGAUGUAUUUAAUAGUCCUUUCUGUGCGGGAUUUGUGUGAUUUCGCAAGCCUUGCCCAAAGACGGGCAAUAUUUUGCCAACAAUGGGAGGAGGAAUGCGAAGAUCAGUGGGUAUUUCAGUAACUGAAAACACCGUUCGCACAAGCCGACACAGCGGACAACUCCUUUGUUCAAAGUUUAAACAAUGAUUCUAUCUUCAAAACUGUUCACGAAAAUAAAACGAGACCGAUGAUAGGAAGUUCUAAUUCGAUUCUCGAGAGCAACGAAAUUAUCAGAGAAAAAGGAAAUUCUCAAAAUUAAUUUUCUUACCUUGAGGAGUAGGCGCUGUCUGGCGCCAUUACCUCAGCUGCUCCGGUGGUCGUCGAAGUUUUUGCUGGGUUUAUUACUUGAACUCGAAUAUAGUUUACUAUCAACGUUUGCUUUAUUUAUCUAUUUCGAUACAGACAGAACAAUUUACUAACUGGAUUAAUACCGCAAUUACAAUGCGCGUUUCUGUCUAAGCGAUGAAAUGAGGACUUUAAAGAUAAAAUUUUCUUUUACUUAAUCGCGACUCUCUUUUCUUUACCGAAAAACUAAAGACCCCGAAACGCAAAAUACUAUACAAAAUUUCUAAAUGCAAUGAUGAGCGCAAUAACGAACGUAGUAACAAUGAACAAAAUAUAAUGAGCACAAGAAGAAUGAACGCAAGAAUAAAGAACGUAAUACGAAUGAUCCGUAAUAACAAUGAACACAAAUUAUAAUGAACGCAAGAAGAAUGAACGCUGCUCUAUGUUGCUUCGCUUAUUUAUAAUGCCAUCCCCCACGGGGUGGUGGUCCGCUGGGGGUACGCUUCCGUGGGAAUCGGGAUGUUGCAGUUUGGGUUUCUUGGAAUCGUACGUGACAAAAUGUAAAUUCCGUAUUUCGACUUAGUUUUUAUCGGUCCUGUGUUUCUGCUGAGCUAGCGUCUAGGAGAUUUGAAGCAUUCCAUGCUGAUCUAGUCCUUUCCGCGAGAGACUUCCACGCGCUGCACCGUGGGAAUUACCGGUGUUUCUUCGGCGCGUGCAAGGGCUGGCGGCUGCAGCAUCAUUAUCAUUUCAAUGUUUGCUCGGGCAACACGCGCAAUUCCGCUGCUCUCCCAUAACAAGGACCUCCUCCUUCGAGUUGUUUUGCGCUUCGGUGAUCGACGUUCGAACAAUGUUUGCGGAGUCAUUUCCAUCAGAGGUUCCUAUCCAGACUUCCCUGCGCAAGCGAAAGAGGGAUUCCGAAGAAUCCAUGGGCGACUCGGGAAGACCCAUCAAACGCAUGCGGCCCUGUGAUGAACCACAAGUAUCAGAGUGGUUGGAGGAACUAUUCGACAUUGGUGCCAAGGCCGUGGAUUUCCCUCGGAAUUGAGCCUUGACGAUUUGGUUACUUUCGAUGAGAGUUUCUUCGAUGCAGAGACCGUCGUAUUGGAGUGGGAACCCCCUCUGGUUGAAAUCGUUGAUACCGAUCGUUGUGUGAAAGUUCGUUUUGCAAAUGAAAUUCCCGGAGAGGUUUUGGAGGCACAUCUUCGUCACCAUGCUUCUGGGAGAAAAGGAAUUUCCCCUGUUGUGCGUUAUUGGUGUAUGCGUGAGUUCAGCGAACUUUGUCCUGGAGCUCCUUGCUACGAUUUUGAUUUAGUGUAGCUGCUUCAAUUUCGUUGGUUCGCUGUUUGAUGUUCCUUAUUAUUAUUAUUUUUUAGAUGUAUUUUGUUUUGUGUUCAAUAUAUAUAUAUAUAUACAUUUUAAAUGUGAUAGUGUUAGGUUAUCUAUUUUAUGUUUGUUAAAUAUAUGUGUAUUUAUUUAAUUUUAUAUUUCUCCCUUUUUAAUUAAUUAUAUAUAUAUAUAUUUUUUUACAAUUGUAGUUGCGCAUAGAAUUUAUUAAAGAAAAGUGUUAACAAUGUGUUUUGACGAUUUGUUUCUCGCGCCUGACUUCCAUUUAUCCCUAAUAUUCCUGUCGCCAUGACGCGUGUAAAUCUAACAUGGCUGCUCAUAAAUGUCAUCAGUAAGGUUAUAGUGGCGGGUCUUUAGUUUUGUUUGAUAUCGAAGUAAUUUUCCGUCUGUCGCACGUUUUUCCUUAUUCUACCGCAAUUAGAACAUUUAUUUAUUAAUAUUGUUUAAAGUGACAAUAGUAUUGUUCGUGUGAAUAUACGUAUAUAUAUAUUUAUGUUGUGUGUCAUUUUAAUAUGGCUAAUGUUUUGUAAUUCUUCGAUAGCGUUAUUUAUUGUUUUGAGUAGUUUAUUUUAUAGAGUGUUCGAUAAUAUAAAACAUACGCGCACACAUACAUAUAUAUAUAUAUAUACGUAUUCAUAUGCAUAUUUCUCCUGGCAGUGUAGUAUUCAUACGAAAUGAAAUGUCAAUUAUUUAUUUUAUAUUAACUUCAUUUAAUGAGAUAGAACACGCACACGCACACGUAUAUAUGUAUAUAUUUCUGGUAAUGUGAUUUUCAUUUAGAUUCUUUAGCGAUGUAAUGUUGUGUAUUUGAGGUUAUGUGUUAAUUAUUUGAUUUCAUAUAUACAUAUAUAUCUUGUAUUGUGACAACAUAGUAUGGGAGGUUUUGUUUCUAGAUUAUUGUGUGUUUAAUGUGUGUUUACAUAUUUGUGUUUGAUGGUAGAAUUUCUGUACGCAAUUCCUCAAGUCGUUGCGCUGUUAAUUAUUUUGAGCGUUUGGCCUAUCGACAGGUUGUCGCUUAGUCCCAAGUGUUGCGUUGUGUGUUCUAUUUCUUUUGUAGAUUAUUAGUAGUGGUUUAGUUUAGAAUAUAGAUUAUUUAUAUGUUUAUAUAGAGACAUGCAUGUUUCGUAAUGUAGUUCUCAUUUUAUAAUCCUUUACCGGAAUGUAGGCUAGUUUUAAGUAUGUAUCUUAGAUUAUCGCUUUGAUAGAAUUCGCACACAUAUAUAUAUUUCUGACAAUGUAACCUUCAUUUCUUUAAUAAUACAAUAUUGUAUGUUUUAUGUAUUCGUUAAACUAUUAGCUUUUGACUUCAUAUAUACUUAUUUUCAUAAAUUGAUAAUAUUGUAUUUGUUGCACAGUAUUGGAAGUACUGUCUCUAAUAUUUACUAGUCCAUUACAUGUUUGGCAUAUAUGUUUAUACUUAUAUGUAACUCUCCAAGUUGAUUGAUUAAAAUAUAUUUAUAUAUACAUGUAUUCCUGGCGUUUCAAUUAUUUCCCCUUUUGUAGUUAUUCUUAUUUCCUGGUUUAUUUGUUUGGUUUGUAACUCGUUCAAUCCAUUAGCUGGUUCAAUUUAUUUUAUUUUAUACUGGUUGGAUUUAUAUUAUAUUGAUCCAUAGGUUUUCAAAUUGCAAGUCGGUUAUUGGUAGGUUUAUUUAGAGUUGUGUGUAUAUGUAUUUUGUUUAUUUGUUGGAUCUAUUAGUCGCCUUCGUUUUAUUAAUCCUUCCUUUAGUUUCGUAGCGCCGUGUGUUCGUUUGUGCAUUCAAAUCCUUAUUCGCGCGUUUUGUAUAGAAUGGUUUUCUUGUUCUUGUUACGGCGCGUGCGGAGCGCGGGACAUAUUUCGACGUUUAAGCGCUCGUUGAACUCCAUUUUACAGUGCAGAUGCAUUGCACUACCGUUUAAGCGUCGAAACAAUCAAAAUAUCU